CGACCUCAGGUCAGGCGGGACUACCCGCUGAGUUUAAGCAUAUCAAUAAGGGAGGAAAAGCAACUUACAAGGAUUCCCUUAGUAACGGCGAGCGAACCAGGAACAACCCAACUUGAAAAUCGGGCGGCUUCGUUAUUCGAAUUGUAGUCUGUAGAAGCGUCCUUAGCGGCGAACCGGGCCCAAGUCCCCUAGAAGGGGGCGCCGGAUAGGGUGAGACCCCCUCGUUCCUGGACCCUGUCGCACCACGAGGCGCUAUCUGUGAGUUGGGUUAUUUGGGAAUGCACCCCCAAUAGGGCGGUAAAUUCCGUCCAAGGCUAAAUACUGGCGUGAGACCGAUAGCAAACAAGUGCCGUGCGGGAAAGAUGAAAAGGCCUUUGAAAAGAGAGUCAAGGAGUGCUUGAAAUUGUCGGGAGAGAAGUGAAUGGGGUCGGCGAUGCGUCCUGGUCAGAUGUGGAACGAUGUAAGUCGGUGCGCCGAUCGGCUCGGGGCAUGGACCGGUGCGGAUUGGUACGAUGGCCAAAGCCCAGGCUGUUGAUAUGCCUGUGGAGAUGUCGUUGUGCUGAUCGUGGUUGGCAGCGAGCGCCUUCAUGGCAUGCUUCGGAAACUGCGUGCUCCUGGCACCAGCCUGCGGGCACCCCAUUCGGCCCGUCUUGAAACACGGACUAAGGAGUCUGACAUGUGUGCGAGUUAACGGGUGAGUAAACCCGCAAGGCGCAUGGAAGCUGAUUGGCGGGAUCCCCCUCGUGGGGUGCACCGCUGACCGAUCUUGAUCUUCUGAAGGGUUCUAGUGUGAGCAUGCCUGUCGGGGCCCGAAGGAUGGUGAACUAUAUGCCUGAGCGGGGCGAAGCCAAAGGAAACUUUGGUGGAGGCCCGCAGCGAUACUGGCGUGCAAAUCGUUCGUCUAACUUAGGUAUAGAGGUGAAAGACUAAUCGAACCUUCUAGUAGCUGGUUUCCCUCAGGAUAGCUGGAGCCUGGGUGCGAGUUCUAUCUGAUAAAGCGAAUGACUAGAGGCAUCGGGGGCACAACGCCCUAGACCUAUUCUCAAACUUUAAAUAGGUAGGAUGGCGCAACUGCUUUGUUGAGUUGCGCCACGGUAUCGAGAGCUCUAAGUGGGCCAUUUUUUGUAAGCAGAACUGGCGAUGCGGGAUGAACUGGAAGACGGGUUACGGUGCCAAACUGCGCGCUAACCUAGAACCCACAAAGGGUGUUGGUCGAUUAAGACAGCAGGACAGUGGUCUUGGAAGUUGAAAUCCGCUAAGGAGUGUGUAACAACUCACCUGCUGAAUCAACUAGCCCCGAAAAUGCAUGGUGCUUAAGCGCGUGACCUACACCCGGCCGUCGAGGCAAGUGCUAGGCUCGGAUGAGUAGGAGGGUGCGGCGGUCACUACAAAACCUUGGGUCAGAGCCCGGGUGGAGCAGCCAUCGGUGCGGAUCUUGGUGGUAGUAGCAAAUAUUCAAAUGAGAACUUUGAAGGCCGGAGAGGGGAAAGGUUUCAUGUGAAUGGCACUUUCACAUGGGUAAGUCAAUCCAAAGAGACGGGGAAGCCCAUCAGAUAGCGUGUUUCACGCAAGCUUCGAAAAGGAGUCGGAUUAAAAUUCCUGAACCAGGAUAUGGCUGCUGACGACAAGAUUAGGGAUUCCGGAGACGUCAGCGAGGGCCCCGGGAAGAGUUAUCUUUUCUGUUUAACAGCCUGCCCACCGUGGAAACGACUCAGUCGAAGGUAGGAUCCAGCGGCUGGAAGAGCACCGCACGUCGCGCGGUGUCCGGUGCGCCCCCGGCGGCCCUUGAAAAUCUGUAGGACCGAGUGCCUCCCAUGCCUGGUCGUACUCUUAACAGCAUCAUGUAUCCAAGGUGAACAGCCUCUGGCCGAUGGAACAAUGUAGGGAAGGGAAGUCGUUAAAAUGGAUCCGUAACCUCGGGAAAAGGAUUGGCUCUGAGGGCUGGGCACGGGGGUCCCCAUCCCGAACCCGCCGGCUGUCGGUGGACUGCUCGAGCUGCUUCCGUGGCGAGAGCGGGUCACCGCGUGCCGGCCGGGGGGACGGACUGGGAACGACCUCUUCGAGGGCCUUCCCCGGGCAUCGAACAACCAACUCAGAACUAGUACGGAAAAGGGGGAUCUGAGUGUUUAAUUAAAACAAAGCAUUGCAAUGGUCCCUGUGGAUGCUAACACAAUGUGAUUUCUGCCCAGUGCACUGAAUGUCAAAGUGAAGAAAUUCAACCAAGCGUGGUAAACGGCGGGAGUAACUAUUACUCUCUUAAGGUAGCCAAAUGCCUCGUCAUCUAAUUAAUGACGCGCAUGAAUGGAUUAACGAGAUUCCCACUGUCCCUGUCUACUAUCCAACGAAACGACAGCCAAGGGAAUGGGCUUGGCAGAAUCAGCGGGGGAAGAAGACCCUGUUGAGCUUGACUCUAGUCUGAAUUUGUGAAAUGACUUGAGAGGUGUAGUAUAAGUGGGAGCCCUCGGGCGAAAGUGAAAUACAGCUACUUUUAACGUUAUUUUACUUAUUCCGUGAAUCAGAAGCGGGGCAACGCCCCUCUUUUUGGACCCAAGGCCCACCUCGGCGGGUCGAUCCGGGCGGAAGACAUUGUCAGGUGGGGAGUUUAGUUAGGGUGGCACAUCUGUUAAAACAUAAUGCAUGUGUCUUAAGAUGAGAUCAACGAGAACAUAAAUCUCGUGUAGAACUAAAGGGUAAAAGCUUGUUUGAUUCUGAUUUCCAGUACGAAUACGAACUGUGAAAGUGUGGCCUAACGAUCCUUUAGACCUUCGGAAUUUGAAGCUAGAGGUGUCAGAAAAGUUACCACAGGGAUAACUGGCUUGUGGCAGAAAAGCGUUCAUAGCGACAUUGCUUUUUGACCCUUCGAUGUCGGCUCUUCCUAUCAUUGUGAAGCAGAAUUCACCAAGUGUUGGAUUGUUCACCCACCAAUAGGGAACGUGAGCUGGAUUUAGACCGUCGUGAGACAGGUUAGUUUUACCCUACUGAUGAAAGUGUCGUGAAGCCAGUGGCGUGAAGCUACUGUGGUCAUCGCGCUUGGUUGAAAAGCCAGUGGUCAUCGCGCUUGGUUGAAAAGCCAGUGGCGUGAAGCUACUGUGCGCUGGAUUAUGACUGAAUGCCUCAAGUCAGAAUCCGGGCUAGAAGCAACAUGUGUGCCCGUCUCCUGUUUGCCGACCAGCAGCAGGGGACUCAGCACCCAAAGGCACGUGUCGUAGGCUAAGCUCACACGACAGACGAGCCGCCCUGGCCACCAUGAAGUACAAUUCCCAUCAAUCAACUGGUAGAAUCCUUUGCAGACGACUUAAAUACGUGACGGGGUAUUGUAAGUGGCAGAGUGGCUUUGCUGCCACAAUCCACUGAGAUUCAGCCCUUCGUCACUCAGAUUCGU
rfam:Helianthus annuus linkage group 11, whole genome shotgun sequence.